ACCACAUAUUAAUUUAUUACUGUAAUUUUUUUCUGCUUUUUGAUUAAAUAUCAAAUACUUAUUAUAGAUUGCCCAAUGAUUAUGUCCAAAGGGAACAAUGGGUUUCAUUAAUGGAAAUCAACACAUUUAAAAAGAACAUAUUUGUUUGUUCAGAUCACAUCCUUAGAAGUGAUAUAAGGGAGAUAAUAUUAUCAGUAGCCAGACUUUAUUAAAAAAAUCAGCUCUACCUCAAAGGUAAUUUUUUUAAAUAUAUUUUUCUAGUAUAUUUAUAGGUAUGAGUAUAUUUUACCUUAGAAUUAUUGAUAAAGGUUUGCAUGCUUUUAUUUACUACAUUAAGUAAGCUAAAAAAACAACCUUUUAAAACUUGUGCUUGGGCUAUGUUGUAAAACAUACAGCUUCUUCACAAAAAGUAUUAGUGUUACUCAUAUAAGAUUUAUUUAUACCUAAUACUUAUUAAAUUAGGUAUGUGUGUAAAACUAUUUUUUUACUAGGAUUUCUGAUGCACUGGUUAAAAAAAAACACAGCAGCCAAUAAUUCAGUUAAUUUACCAAGUGAUUUACCCUUCAAAGCUACAGGGGUAGCUUUCCUGAAGAGUGCAAAAACUUCUUUAGCUUUCAAAAUGGUAUAUAGUACAAACAGUGAAGCUAAUAUAGACACAUCUGAUCAUUCAUCAUCAACAAUAACUGCAUCUGAGAAUUAUAGUUCUACAGUAACCGUGGAGUCUAGGUCAACAAUUACUAUUUCUCAUCCAAGCCGUUUGUUUAACUGCUACACAUUCCCUGACUCUGCCAAGGAAAAGGGUAAAAUCAAAAUGAUAUCCUGAGGACCUAAGCACUGAUGAUUCCACCGUUUCAAGAGCUUAAUCACUUGUCACCAGAUUAUGGAAAAAAAAUAAAGAACAAAAAAUUAAAAUUCGAAGAUUGCAACAAGCAAAUUUGCGCCAAAGAAAUUAAAUUAGAUGUCUCAAGUCAUUAUUAAAAUACUAACAUAAAAUAAUAACAUGAUUUUAUGGAAAAGCCCAACAUACUACAUAUUUUAUUUGACUUGUA